UGCAAGUCGAGCGGUAGCACAAGGAGCUUGCUCUUGGGUGACGAGCGGCGGACGGGGAAAGGGGGCUGGGAAACUGCCCGAUGGAGGGGGAUGACUACUGGAAACGGUAGCUAAUACCGCAUAACGUCUUCGGACCAAAGUGGGGGACCUUCGGGCCUCACACCAUCGGAUGUGCCCAGAUGGGAUUAGCUAGUAAGUGAGGUAAUGGCUCACCUAGGCGACGAUCCCUACCUGGUCUGAGAGGAUGACCAGCCACACUGGAACUGACACACGGUCCAGACUCCUACCGGAGGCAGCAGUGGGGAAUAUUGCACAAUGGGCGCAAGCCUGAUGCAGCCAUGCCGCGUGUGUGAAGAAGGCCUUCGGGUUGUAAAGCACUUUCAUCGAGGAGGAAGGGUUCGGUGUUAAUAGCACCGUUCAUUGACGUUACUCGCAGAAGAAGCACCGGCUAACUCCGUGCCAGCAGCCGCGGUAAUACGGAGGGUGCAAGCGUUAAUCGGAAUUACUGGGCGUAAAGCGCACGCAGGCGGUUUGUUAAGUCAGAUGUGAAAUCCCCGAGCUUAACUUGGGAACUGCAUUUGAAACUGGCAGCUAGAGUCUUGUAGAGGGGGGUAGAAUUCCAGGUGUAGCGGUGAAUGCGUAGAGAUCUGGAGGAAUACCGGUGGCGAACGCGGCCCCUGGACAAAGACUGACGCUCAGUGCGAAGCGUGGGAGGAACAGGAUUAGAUACCCUGGUAGGCACGCUGUAAACGAUGUCUACUUGGAGGUGUGCCUUGAGCGUGCUUCAGAGCUAACGCGUUAAGUCUACCGCCU
rnacentral:rRNA from 1 species